UAGGGAAUAUUGGACAAUGGGUGAGAGCCUGAUCCAGCCAUGCCGCGUGCAGGAAGAAGGCGUUAUGCGUUGUAAACUGCUUUUUGCCAGGGGAUAAAAUGAGCAUGCGUGCUUAAUUGAAGGUACCUGGUGAAUAAGCCACGGCUAACUACGUGCCAGCAGCCGCGGUAAUACGUAGGUGGCAAGCGUUAAUCGGAAUUACUGGGCGUAAAGCGUGCGCAGGCGGUCUUGUAAGACAGAUGUGAAAUCCCCGGGCUCAACCUGGGACCUGCAUUUGUGACUGCACGGCUAGAGUGUGUCAGAGGGGGGUAGAAUUCCACGUGUAGCAGUGAAAUGCGUAGAUAUGUGGAGGAAUACCGAUGGCGAAGGCAGCCCCCUGGGAUAACACUGACGCUCAUGCACGAAAGCGUGGGGAGCAAACAGGAUUAGAUACCCUAGUAGUCCCUGAGCGGGCUGGCAAGGCGCAU
rnacentral:rRNA from 1 species